AGUGGCGGACGGGUGAGUAACACGUAAGAAUCUACCUUUUGGAGAGGGAUAAUCCUUGGAAACGUUGACUAAUACCUCAUAAUACUGAGAAGUUAAAGAAUAAAUAAUCGCCAAAAGAUGAGCUUGCGGCUGAUUAGCUAGUUGGUGAGAUAAUGGCUUACCAAGGCUAUGAUCAGUAGCUGGUCUGAGAGGAUGAUCAGCCACACUGGGACUGAGACACGGCCCAGACUCCUACGGGAGGCAGCAGUGAGGAAUUUUCCGCAAUGAGCGAAAGCUUGACGGAGCAAUACCGCGUGAAGGAUUAAGGCCUAUGGGUUGUAAACUUCUUUUCUCAGAGAAGAAUUUUGACGGUAUCUGAGGAAUAAGCAUCGGCUAACUCUGUGCCAGCAGCCGCGGUAAGACAGAGGAUGCAAGCGUUAUCCGGAAUGAUUGGGCGUAAAGCGUCUGUAGGUGGUUUGACAAGUCUUUUGUUAAAGAUCAAGGCUUAACCUUGAAUCGGCAAAAGAUACUAUGAGACUAGAGUUCGGUAGGGGCAGAGGGAAUUUCCAGUGAAGCGGUGAAAUGCGU
rnacentral:rRNA from 1 species